CAGUCUCUAACAGCAUACAGUGAAUCCCCCCAAGAACGAGACAAGGCUCUGUGUUGAGGGUCAAGCAGUGGUCUGAGGUGCUGGCACACCCAGCCUGGUUUUUAUUACAGUCUUGCAAAUACAGGACCGCCCACAGGGAGGUAUAAAGCAACCAAUCACAUCACAGUUACAUCCCACAUAUUCCCUCCCCUUAUCCUGAGAGGAAACUCAAUUACACAUACAGUUAAAACAUACUUUCUAC